AUUCUGGCUCAGGAUGAACGCUGGCGGCGUGCCUAAUACAUGCAAGUCGAACGAGGUGCUUUUGUAGCAAUACGAGAGUAUCCUAGUGGCGAACGGGUGAGUAACGCGUUGGUGACCUACCCCAAAGUGUGGGAUAACAGUCCGAAAGGAUUGCUAAUACCGCAUGUGGUUAUUGGAUUUAGAAACCGGUAACUAAAGGAGCAAUUCGCUUUGGGAGGGACCUGCGUCCCAUCAGCUAGUUGGUGAGGUAAUGGCUCACCAAGGCGACGACGGGUAGGGGACCUGAGAGGGUGACCCCCCACAAUGGAACUGAAACACGGUCCAUACACCUACGGGUGGCAGCAGUAGGGAAUAUUGCUCAAUGGGCGAAAGCCUGAAGCAGCAACGCCGCGUGUGUGAUGAAGGCCUUCGGGUCGUAAAGCACUUUUCUGGGAGAUGAGAAAGGACAGUAUCCCAGGAAUAAGUCUCGGCUAACUACGUGCCAGCAGCCGCGGUAAAACGUAGGAGGCGAGCGUUAUCCGGAUUCACUGGGCGUAAAGCGCGUGCAGGUGGCGCGGUAAGUUGGGUGUGAAAUCUCCCGGCUCAACUGGGAGAGGUCAUUCAAUACUACCGUGCUUGAGAGCAGAAGAGGAAGAUGGAAUUCCCGGUGUAGUGGUGAAAUGCGUAGAUAUCGGGAGGAACACCAGUGGCGAAGGCGAUCUUCUGGUCUGUUUCUGACACUCAGAGGCGACAGCUAGGGUAGUAAACGGGAUUAGAGACCCCGGUAAUCCUAGCCGUAAACGAUGUGAACUUGGCGUUGGUGGGUUAAACUCCAUCAGUGCCGUAGCAAACGCGAUAAGUUCACCGCCUGGGGACUACGGCCGCCAG
rnacentral:rRNA from 1 species